AUGGCGCUGCGCUCUCUUGUUAGAAAGAUGCCGGCCCUGGGUCUCAGGCCGCCGCCGACGGCCAACCUUAUGGGUCCCGUCCGGGCGCUGUCGCCGGCGGCGGGUUCUCGGCUCAUGUCCCAUGGGGCUCCGGCAAUCGAUCGCUUGUGCGCGGAGAUCUAUUCUGAAGACGAGAUGGCUAGGGUUCGGGAGGAAAUAAAUCGCCUGCGCGCGGAGACUGACCAGAACCGCAUAGAGUUAAAAAAGCAGGACGCUGAGGGGUUGAAGAUGAUUGAGAUGACCCAACAAGUCAUGGACGCAGCUGAAGCUUCUUAUAAUGAAGCCGCCAGGCAUAAUACUGAAGCCAUUAAAAGCAUAAUGGAAGAUUUUCGGAAAAUAGACAAGGCAUGUGACGUUGUUCUCAUUAGCUGUCCGCUGCUGAUUAUCCUUAUGGCCAUGGCUAUGUAG
rnacentral:rRNA from 1 species